rnacentral:rRNA from 1 species
AGCAGCCGCGGUAAUUCCAGCUCCAAUAGCGUAUAUUAAAGUUGUUGCAGUUAAAAAGCUCGUAGUUGAAUUUCGGGAUUGACGUGAUGGUCAUGCCUUAAGGGGUAUGAACUGUUGCAGUUGAUUUCUCACCUUCUGGAGAAACUUGAUGUUCUUUAUUGGGUGUCUUGCGGAUCCAGGACCUUUACCUUGAAAAAAUUAGAGUGUUUAAAGCAGGCAUUUUUGCUCGAAUACAUUAGCAUGGAAUAAUAGAAUAGGACGGCAUGGUUCUAUUUUGUUGGUUUCUAGGAUCACCGUAAUGAUUAAUAGGGAUAGUUGGGGGCAUUAGUAUUCAAUUGUCAGAGGUGAAAUUCUUGGAUUUAUUGUAAGACUAACUACUGCGAAAGACAUUUGCCAAGGAUGUUUUCAUUAAUCAAAGAACGAAAGUUAGGGGAUCGAAGACGAUCAGAUAACCGUCGUAGUNUUAAACCAUAAACUAUAGCGACUAGGAAUCAGACGAUGUUAAUUUUUAAUAGACUUC